GGAUUCGUGACUGGGGUGAAGUCGUAACAAGGUAGCCGUAUCGGAAGGUGCGGCUGGAUCACCUCCUUUCUAGA
rnacentral:rRNA from 3 species